rnacentral:lncRNA from 1 species
UGAGGUUACACCUGUUUAGCCUGAAGUGCCAUUAGACUGCUGUGUGCUUGGAAAAUGCUGCUGCUGCUGCUGCUUAGCACUGUUCUCCCUCUCUUUUUAUAUAAGAGCACAGGUAAGAACAUUUCUAAUACACAUAUAGAUGUGCUGAUUUGCUCUUUAUAUUUUUAUGUUUUUUUUUUUGCAGCUUACACAACAGCACAGAUAAUCCUCCUUCGCCCAAACGAAGUAAACAUACCUCCUCUACAGCUGGAGGCCACGCCGGACUACCCCGUCGUAGCUGGACAGUCGGUCGUCCUGCGCUGCAGCUCCAGCAUCCUCCCAUUGUCCAUCACUUCUUCUUGGCAUCACCUGCAGAAUCAGACCUGGAAAAAUGUGAGCGUGGGAAGGGAGCUGAUCCUCACCGAGCCCCGGCAAAGUGGACUGUACCGCUGCCAGGAUGGCAGAAUGUAUUCACAAAACCACACGGUCUAUAUCAUCUCUGUGAGAGCAACUGUGGGAGAGAAUCUGGGAGUAGCAGCUUUCAUCCUUUCUCUCCUGGCCCUGAUCAUCAUCACUAUUGUUUUCUGGACGGGCUACCAAAAGCUCCGAUCGCUGAGCACCUCCGGCUCUGCAGCUAAAGGUUUCCCUCAAUCUGACCCAGCAUCAAAGAGGGGUUUGCCACAGAAUGACCAAGAUGUGUACAUGAAUUACACAAGCGAUAACCAAGCCUACACUGAUCUGGAUCCUACCAGUAUGACUGGACAUAAUGUGUACUCAGUCUGUCAUGAAAAAUGAUCUGAGGUAAGGUAGAGAUGUGCAGUUUGCCAUAUGAAUUUUUUAGUUUCCACAUACAUGUAACACAGUCUCAGUGUGGUAAACACAUACCUGUAGAGUUGGUUGCAUCAAUAUUAUUGUCUAGCUUGUUGAUAUGUCUGAUUUUGUAAAGAAACCACCUGUAAAAUGUCUUUUCUGAAGUUAGCAUGGUAACCUGCUCGCCACAGAGUGUAUGCUUAUAUACUGCUCUGAAGUACAUAAUGGAUCAGUGAGCUAAUAGGAUUUAGGCCUCAGUAUCUAGGUUACUUGUAUUUACACUACUGUUCAAAAGUUUGGGGUCACUUGGAAAUGUCUUUAUUUUUGAAAAAAAAAUUGUUUUGUUUUUUUCAAUAAAGACAACAUAACAUACA